CUGGUGAAUCUUCCACAAUGGACGAAAGUGGGAGGGAGCAACGCCGCGUGAGUGAAGAAGGGGAUGGAGUCGUAAAGGUUUGUUAUCAGGGACGAAAGAGGAAUAAGAGAAUACAGGUGUGAAAUGACGUUGCUUGAGGAGGAAGAAGGGGCGAAUUAUUUGCCAGCAGCCGCGGUAAUAAGUAGGUGGGUAGCGUUGUCCGGAAUUAUUGGGGGUAAAGGGAGGGCAGGCGGGCGGUCAAGUCGGUCUUAAAAGUGCGGGGCUUAACCCCGUGAUGGGAUAGAAAC
rnacentral:rRNA from 1 species